rnacentral:rRNA from 1 species
UGAAACCGUUUAGGGGUAAACCUGAGAAACCCGAAAGUUCGAAGGGAGAAAUUCAUUCGCGUUUCAACGUCGAAGUCGAACGAGAUUGUGUGACGGGAAAUGAUGUUCGUUUACGGAUGUUCGUUUUUCGCGCCGCUCGUUCUUCGAAUCGAUGAUGAACGUGUGCACUUUUCUUCUGGUAGGACGUCGCGAUCCGUUGGGUGUCGGUCUAAGAGAUGCGGUGGAGCCCGUUUUACUAAUUUUUAGUUUAGAACGGACCCGUAUUUUCCGGCCGACUCGCUCGACGGUAUACGAACGGUUCGGGGCCGCUCUUUUGAGCGUUCGGCCCGUGGCAAGCGCGUCAGAUGUUUGUCGAAGUUCGGACCUAGUGCCGAUCCCGACCUCUGAUGACUGUUGGCCGCGGAGUUCUCGAACAGACCUCGCAACAAAUUAAUAUAACCGAUCUGCGACGCUAUAGCUUUGGGUAAUUUCAGGACCCGUCUUGAAACACGGACCAAGGAGUCUAGCAUGUGCGCAAGUCAUUGGGAAUUACUAAACCUAAAGGCGCAAUGAAAGUGUAGAACUUACUUGUGAAGUUCGAGGGAAGACGAGCGGUUCGACCUUAAAAGCG